AUCAAUGUGGCAGAUUAGUGCAAUGAACUUAAGAUUCAUAUAUAAAUACUAGUAUUUUAUUGGAA
rnacentral:tRNA from 1 species